GAGUUUGAUCCUGGCUCAGGACGAACGCUGGCGGCGUGCUUAACACAUGCAAGUCGAACGGUAAGGCUCCAGCUUGCUGGGGUACACGAGUGGCGAACGGGUGAGUAACACGUGGGUGACCUGCCCUGCACUUCGGGGAUAAGCCUGGGAAACUGGGUCUAAUACCGGAUAGGACCGCACCGUGAGGGUGUGGUGGAAAGUUUUUUCGGUGUGGGAUGGGCCCGCGGCCUAUCAGCUUGUUGGUGGGUAAUGGCCUACCAAGGCGGCGACGGUAGCCGGCCUGAGAGGGUGGACGGCCACAUUGGGACUGAGACACGGCCCAGACUCCUACGGGAGGCAGCAGUGGGAAUAUUGCACAAUGGGCGGAAGCCUGAUGCAGCGACGCCGCGU
rnacentral:rRNA from 1 species